UCAAGCGUAGCGUCAAGCACCAACCAGAGAAGCAUGAGAAGACAAUCAAAAUCAGAGCCUCGAGCAACUAGCCCUGCAGUAGAUUCUUCUUCAGCUGCCCAAGGUUUUCUACGACAACUAUCCUGCGGUUAUGUAUGAGUGUCUUUAUAAAUAGACCUCACAAUCUGCGGAGGAUUUGACAAAGAGUUUAUAUGUUAUAUUAGUGGAAACACUAUGUAAUUGGUGAUCGUGAAUGCCAGCCCUGAUUUUGAGUUGCUUUGAAACGUUGUCAAGUGUUUCCUCAACCCUCGUACAUUGUCCAAGAUUCAGAUAUGUUUCCAACUGCUGCAUCAGCCGCUUGUACCCCUCUCUAGCUUAUAAGUGAAAAUGGCAUUUUUGUUGUGCUUGGUUUAUCAAAGCUAGCUGGCCUAUUUCAUUGGGGGUAGCUGUUGCUGUAGGAAGUCUUCAACUCAGAGAGAGGCCCUUAGGCAGAAACAUCUGUGGCUUAAAUUGGAGAAUGAUUUAUAAGGUAUGGUUGGCUGGAUUAUGGCUUUGAUGCUAUAUUAAUUGUAAAUAACUAAAUAUAGAUACCAAUAGAAUAAUAGUAUCUAUUUGAAUCCAAGAUUGAUCCUCACAAGUACAUUAACCUUAAGGAUCAACACAUUUAGAAUUUACAUUAUACUCAUUUUGAUGUGGCUGUGAUGAUGCCCUAUAUGAGCCACCUCUUUCAACUUGAUUCUCUAGUUUUUGGGUUCUUC